rnacentral:rRNA from 1 species
UACAGAGGGUGCGAGCGUUGUUCGGAAUUAUUGGGCGUAAAGGGCGCGUAGGCGGUUUGUACAGUCAGACGUGAAAUUCCUGGGCUCAACCUGGGGGCUGCGUUUUGAUACGUGCGGACUUGAGUUCGGAAGAGGGUCGUGGAAUUCCCAGUGUAGAGGUGAAAUUCGUAGAUAUUGGGGAAGAACACCGGUGGCGAAGGCGGCGACCUGGUCCGAUACUGACGCUGAGGCGCGAAAGCGUGGGGAGCAAACAGG